rnacentral:rRNA from 1 species
GAUGAACGCUAGCUACAGGCUUAACACAUGCAAGUCGCAGGGUAACAUGAGGAAAGCUUGCUUUCCUUGAUGACGACUGGCGCACGGGUGAGUAACGCGUAUCCAACCUUCCCAUAACUACGGGAUAACCCGUUGAAAGACGGCCUAAGACCGUAUGAUAUCGUUUGCUGACAUCAAAUAACGAUUAAAGGUUUAGCGGUUAUGGAUGGGGAUGCGUCUGAUUAGCUUGUUGGCGGGGUAACGGCCCACCAAGGCGACGAUCAGUAGGGGUUCUGAGAGGAAUGUCACCCAGAUUGGAACUGUGACACGGGCCAGACUCCUACGGGAGGCAGCAGUGAUGAAUAUUGGGCAAUGGGCGAGAGCCUGAACCAGCCAAGUAGCGUGCAGGACGACGGCCCUAUGGGUUGUAAACUGCUUUUAUGUGGGGAUAAAGUGCGUGACGUGUCAUGCAUUGCAGGUACCACAUGAAUAAGGACCGGCUAAUUCCGUG